CAGCCCGGUAAUUCCAGCUCCAAUAGCGUAUAUUAAAGUUGUUGCAGUUAAAAAGCUCGUAGUUGAAUUUCGGGAUCAAUAUGUUGGUCGUGCCUUUGGUACGUACUAGCUUAUUGAUUUCUCCCUUCUGACGAACCAUGAUGUCAUUAAUUUGGUGUCAUGGGGAAUCAGGACUGUUACUUUGAAAAAAUUAGAGUGUUUAAAGCAGGCUUACGCUUGAAUAUAUUAGCAUGGAAUAAUGAAAUAGGACGUUUUGAUUCUAUUUUGUUGGUUUCUAGGAUCGACGUAAUGAUUAAUAGGGAUAGUUGGGGGCAUUAGUAUUCAAUUGUCAGAGGUGAAAUUCUUGGAUUUAUUGAAGACUAACUACUGCGAAAGCAUUUGCCAAGGAUGUUUUCAUUAAUCAAGAACGAAAGUUAGGGGAUCGAAGACGAUCAGAUACCGUCGUAGUCUUAACCAUAAACUAUGCCGACUAGGGAUCGGAUGAUGUUAAUUUUUUAAUGACUCAUUCGGCGCCUUACG
rnacentral:misc_RNA from 1 species